AUAGUACUCCCUCCGUCCGGAAAUACUUGUCAUCAAAAUGAAUAAAAGGGGAUGUAUCUAGAUGUAUAUUAGUUCUAGAUACAUCUUUUUUAUCCAUUUUGAUGACAAGUAUUUUCGGACGAAGGGAGUACUUG
rnacentral:pre_miRNA from 1 species